UACGAAGGGGGCUAGCGUUGCUCGGAAUCACUGGGCGUAAAGGGUGCGUAGGCGGGUCUUUAAGUCAGGGGUGAAAUCCUGGAGCUCAACUCCAGAACUGCCUUUGAUACUGAGGAUCUUGAGUCCGGGAGAGGUGAGUGGAACUGCGAGUGUAGAGGUGAAAUUCGUAGAUAUUCGCAAGAACACCAGUGGCGAAGGCGGCAUCCUGGACCGACAUUGACGCUGAACGGCGAAAGCUAGGGGAGCAAACGGG
rnacentral:rRNA from 1 species